ACAUACGACCAUACCUACUGGAGAACUCGGGAUCCCGUCCGCUCUCCCAUAGAUAAGCCAGUGAGGGCCAGAUUAGUAGUUGGGUCGGUGACGACCAGCGAAUCCCUGGUGUUGUAUGUU
rnacentral:rRNA from 1 species